rnacentral:lncRNA from 1 species
CCAUUCCAUUUUUGUUCUUAAUUACUUUCUUGACCACCAGGUGCCAUUUGCACUUGAUUCUGGUGUAAGAGAAUGUUUGAGCAGCAUAAGUAUUAAUUUCAUAAAUUUCGUGUGUGUUUUAAUGAGAACACUCAAAAUUAAUAAAACAAUGCGUACAUUAAAUUCAAAUUGCAGGCCAGCAGCGUUGACCCCAGCUCUGUCAACACGUUCACGACAGGACGGGAGAAGUCCGGACCGGAUAGCACAGCUCUGGUCUGCUCCCCGAGAGGCCAUCUAGGGUGCGACUGGAAGCAGGGCCAGGGACUGGCCUGUCGCCUGUGUGUGUGUUCUGUAAUUAUGAGAACAUUAUGGGCAUUAUGCUCCACAAUCGUUAUUGCGUGGACAUGCUGGGACCUUGAUGCCGGCGAGUACGAGGCUGCCGGGGAUGUCGAUAGACCUCCAUGCCCAUGGACGACGGCUCCUUGCGGCGCUUUCAACAUUUGCGUUAUGCAUGAACUGUCAUGCACACAUUGGCCACACAGCCAGAGAGAGAGAGAGAGAGAGAGAGAGAGAGAUACAUAUAGAAAGGGAAGGCGCUAUUGUCAGAGAAAGAGAGACAGCUAAAGACAUAGAGCCAGCAGGAGACUGAGGGCCACCCCGUCUAAAUUGCGACAACAUUAUUUAAUUGAAACUAAUUUGCCAUUUUGUGGCUCCCAUCAAAAUACUUAAUAUCUUGGCCAGUCAUUGGGCGUGUCGUUGUCACUGCCCCAAAAUGUGGGUAAAUUUUUGGUUGUUUUCACUCUUUUUGUUUCCCUUUUGUCCGGAGAUUUCGAGCGCUUUCCACGCUCGCUUUGAACCCAAUUAAUUUUUAUAUAUUGUAUCCUCCGUAUAUUCCGUAUUCUGUAUAAAGUGCAAAUAGAGAAAGGCCCCAACUCGAACUGCAACUCUGAGCCAGGGCGCCAUAUUUCUCACCUUUCGGGAAUGGCGCCCACGAACAGGCAGCAAAAAAUUAAGCGCUUUAUGGCAUAUACUCGUACUCGUACAACACCAUGGAGUACACCACAUGCUCUGUUUACUUUUACGACUUGCCAAGGCAACGCCAUCCAGCAACAAAUAUUAUAUGAACGGAGGAGCUGCACACCACAGACACAGCAGCAGGUCCUUCUCAAUCUCCAGAUCACCCUCCACCACCACCACCACCACCAACACCUCCACCUGCAGCAUCAGUAACAGUUCCAGUACCAGAGCAGCACCUAUGAGAUGAGAUGCAAGCCAAAGGGGCAACUGCCAGUGAUGGCCAAUACUAAGGGUCUAAAAAAGAGAGAGAAUUAAAUAUAAUAAGUUGCGAGAAAUAUUGAACAACAUUUAAAAACGUUUUAAUUUUGUUCAUAGUGACAAAAUUAUGUAAAACCAGCCUUCCAGGAACGCUGCUCUUCUGCUUGCCAUUGGUAUCUCUCGAUUCAUUAGUUCGGUGCCAUCACUGACUGCCUGCCACGCCCACACAGCUCGUAUGACACUGCGGGAAGGUGGGAAGGUGGUACAGCAGGGGCGGUCUUGCCCCGUCUACAGGCGUGGCACAAAGUGAGCAAAACGCACGUGACGCUCAUCAAUUUAGCGCACUUUGCCUUCCUCGCUGUGCUUUUGCUUUUAAUGCGCUCUAGUGGCAGAGACCCUGAUGAGAGGGAGGAUGGACAGUGAGAGAAGAAACGGUGCAUGGGGCAAAGAGAUGUGGAUGCCACAUGCUGGCUGGAGUGGAGCCCCGCUUCAGUGCAUCGUUCUGCACAUGCUGCGCACGCCGUCAUCGUCGUCGUAGGAGAAGGAAUGGUCGUAGGUCGAGCGGCGUGGAGGGGCGAGGAGUGGAGUACGUGUGGUAGCGGGGGUUUUGUGUGUCACGAUUUUGCAUAUUAAUUGCAUUAAGUUAUAGCCACCGAUGCAGCCAUCCACCGCUGGAUGGCGCCACAUGCUACACCGUGCGGGGCAGGAGCCAGGCCAACUCUGCGAUAAUUUCAAGUUGGUAAAUCCACUUUGGCGCACAUGUUCCGGGAGGGCUUACUGUGCAGCCCGGUGCUUAACUGCAAUUCAAACUGGCUGUAGCCGGAACUAAGACCCGCUGUCUAUGUAUUACACAUAUUUUGUUGCCAUUUAACUAAACAACAUUUUUGCCAUGUGUGUGUGUGUGUUCGGUCGGACAGUGCGUCCAAAGAAUUAAACACGAUUUAUUUUUAACAUCAACCAACCCGCACCCGCUCCCAUCCGAACCAGACACACACUGUGAAAUGUGAUAUGCAUUGCACAG